GACGGCGGGUGCUAGCGUUGUUCGGAAUGACUGGGCGUAAAGGGCGCGUAGGCGGCCGCUUGCGUCGGAUGUGAAAGCCCGGAGCUUAACUCCGGAACUGCCUUUAAAACUGCAUCGCUAGAAUCGUGGAGAGGUGAGUGGAAUUCCGAGUGUAGAGGUGAAAUUCGUAGAUAUUCGGAAGAACACCAGUGGCGAAGGCGACUCACUGGACACGUAUUGACGCUGAGGUGCGAAAGCGUGGGGAGCAAACAGG
rnacentral:rRNA from 1 species